GAUGUUUGAUCCUGGCUCAGAAUGAACGUUGGCGGCGUGGAUUAGGCAUGCAAGUCGAGCGAUCGUAGCAAUACGAGAGCGGCAAACGGGGUAGGAAUACCUCGGAACAUACCCUCAGGUCGGGGAUAGCGGCGGGAAACUGCCGGUAAUACCCGAUGAUCUCGAGAGAGCAAAGGUUUACUGCCCGAGGAGUGGCCGAGGCGAUAUUAGCUAGUUGGUAAGGUAAUGGCUUACCAAGGCUUCGAUGUCUAGGGGGCGUGAGAGCGCGACCCCCACCACUGGGACUGAGAAACUGCCCAGACACCUACGGGUGGCUGCAGUCGAGAAUCUUCGUCAAUGGGGGAAACCCUGAACGAGCGACGCCGCGUGUGGGAUGAAGGCCUUUGGGUUGUAAACCACUGUCAGGGGGGAUGAAACCGCAAGGUUGACAGAGCCCCAGAGGAAGCACGGGCUAAGUUCGUGCCAGCAGCCGCGGUAAUACGAACUGUGCGAACGUUAUUCGGAAUCACUGGGCUUACAGGGUGCGUAGGUGGCCGGACAAGUCAGGUGUGAAAUCCCUCAGCUCAACUGAGGAACUGCGCUUGAAACUGUUUGGCUAGAGUGAGCUAGGGGUGCUUGGAACUGCCAGUGGAGCGGUGAAAUGUGUUGAUAUUGGCAGGAACACCGGAGCCGAAAGGGAAGCACUGGGGCUUAACUGACACUGAGGCACGAAAGCCAGGGGAGCAAACGGGAUUAGAUACCCCGGUAGUCCUGGCCGUAAACUAUGAGAACUGGGCGGGGGAGGGCUUGCCCAUCCCGGCCGUAGCGAAAGCGUUAAGUUCUCCGCCUGGGGAGUAUGGUCGCAAGGCUAA
rnacentral:rRNA from 1 species